GGGGAUUCGGGAUGCACCCCGGGGAAAGGCGGAGCGGGGAGCCGCGGGCGGCCCGGGGGUUGUGCGGGGCCCGGGGUGGCCUCGGGGAGCCGGGGGCGGCCCUCACGGAGCGGCCGUGAGGGGGGGAGGAGGGAGCAGGGAAGGAACGGUGGGAUUCGGGCCUGGCUGUUGGCCAGGCUGUAAAAAAAAAAAAAAAAAAAAAAAAAAAGGUUUCUGCGUGGUUGCAAAUAGUUAAUAGCACGUCGUUUUUUUUUUUUUUUUUUUUUUUGGCGUUAGCGUGCUGUUCAAAACUAACGUGGAUAGAUCUGCUCUAAAAUAGCGGAGCCUAGAAUAGCCCCACUUAACCUGGUAGGUGCUGCGGCUCUUCUGUCUGCUGCACAGGACGCUUGGCAGCACUGAAACUGCCCGUGGUUAAUUAAGGAGGUGUUUUUAAGUUUGGACUUCAUAAAAAAAACAGAAAACACGCCCUCACAUACACUAUAUUAUACGCUGUGCUGCUGGAAGCACAAAGGACUACAUCAUAAACGGUCUAUGUGCAGAUCAGACCUUGAAUUUGAAGAAGCAGGUUGAUGGCUUUUGAUGUUUUUUUUUCCUGUUCUUGUGAUACUAGGAUAACUACGGCUUAAGUUUUGAGGAGAGGUACAGUGUCCCACAACUAAUUAUAACAGAGCGGUUGCAUUUUGUUCUGUGACCUACUUUAAUACAGUACUGAAAUGCUAGAGGUGUAGCAGUUGUGGUAUGCCACUCUGCUGUUCGGCCUUUGCUGUGGGAUAUGUUUACAGUUCAGGGCUUUGGUAUUGAUCACGUGGGUCUCCUUCUGACUUCAAGUAGUCACAUGGUAAAACAGAAUAAGAUUAUAUUGUUUAUUAGCAAUUGUGCCUCUGAAUUCAUAAAUUCACGGUAAUUGUUGCACUGUGAGAUUGAAGCAGUGCAAAUACCUGGAACCAAAAUAGAUUUGUGAAGAUGUUCAUUGCUAGAUGAAUUGGAGAACUUUUUUUUGGCACUUGUCUUCCACUGUUUACUUUAGUGUUCUAUUUUGGGAAUGUGGUUGCAGACAGUUCUAUUCAGCUGGAAGUUCUGACUGUGAUUAGAUCCUUUGCUACUCAGAAUGUAGUCCAGGGAUCAUGACCUUAGUAGUCAACCCUUACAGCCGUUCUCUUUGACCUCCUUCCAGUAAAGACAAUUGCUGCUUGUUUCAAUACUGUACAGAGGCCUUCUGCUUGUCUUUCUCUUCAAGGACAGAUGGAUCUUGGAGAUGGGAGAGGAGGGACAGGCAGAAGCAAGGCUGUAUGUCUUGCAGAGGCAGGCCCGGACUGGGGUGCCAGAGCACAGGUAUAAGCAGGAAGUAUGUACUGGCCUUUAAGUAGCUGUUAAUGCCUGAAUUUCACAUUACAGAAAGUGGAAUUGGCAUCUUGUUAGGACCACAUUUAAUGGAAGAUUUAGUUUUAUAUUAUGGAAUGUAGCAAACAGGACCAUCUCCUGUGGAGCUAGGGAUUCUCACUCAGCAUCUCAGGUAAAGUGCUGGGGCCAAACAGUCCUUUUGCAAUAUUUUCUUGGAAAUAGAGAUGAUAAAGGAAUACUUCUUUUCAAAUAAUAGUUUGGGUUUGUAUGCUCUGUGUGCAUACUAUACUGCUGUUCCUUCCCCUCUGCUCUCCUUUGCUUUGCAGAAAUAGCAGCCAAGGUUUUCAUUGGUGCCAUUCAACUUGCUUCUUGAGCUUUCAGUCUUACAUGUGUUCUGUGGACACCCUGCACAAUAUUUGCCUGGAGAGGAAAGAAAGUUCUACAUGGCAGAACUUCAGGGACAGGAUCUCAUUAAUGCUGGUGGUGAGGAGGAAGCAAGGAGUCUUGAUGAGGACCUGUAGUUCUGAUGGCAUCAGCGGAAGUGUGUUCUUCUACACAUGGGUGCAAGGCUCCCAGCUGCUAUUUAGUAAGUAUGAGCAAGGUUUAAAAGGUUCGGCUGCUUGACCAUGGGAUGUGAUCCAACAUCAGUGAUUUUGCACGACAGCAUGACAGACUGAAAGCAGAUAGACACGUCUGGAUUCCAAAUAUGUAUGUGCUUUUUGAUUUCUUAAGAAGGCCUUGGGCAGAGUUUGAGGAAGUUUUAUAAGCUCUCUCAGACUGCCUUAAUUUUAAUGAUGUAAUUCCAGUGUAAAGUUAAUUUGUACGCUCUGUUGGAUGCUGGAAUCAUGUUCAAGGCUCCUGGAGGAUGGCUCCUCUUUGGAAGAGUAGCUGUCAUUGUUUUGCCCAGGUCAUUGAUGGGAUGGUCUGCCUUCAGUCUUUUGGAGGAAACUGCAUUGUUCACCUGGAAAAAUGGCACAUUUUGCAAGGAAUGUUGAGAUGGAUUUUGGUGAUCCUUUGAGCAUGACCUGUAGGAAUGUAAGCGUGAGAAGUAAUAGGCUGUCUUGCCUCUCACGGUGCACCUGGCAGGGAGACCAUGACAGAAGAUACUGCCACUGCCAACAGGCAGAGCCAAACGUUACCACCUUUGUAAUCAACUCCUACACACACAAAAUGCAUGUGGAAAGUGGUAGGACCUAUAUAAACUGUACGGUAUC